CCCUUUUAGAGGAGGGAUUGUAAACAGAAUUGUCCAUGAAAAUGGAAAACGUCUUGCACAUCCUAAAAAGUGCUGGGCUGUCGCUGUGCAGGGGUCGCUCCCGCUCCACCUCCUCUGAUUAAACACUGACACGCUGAGCAAAGCCUCCAGGCAAGCCUUCCAUAUUCAUCAGACAGCGGCUUUAUCAGGAAAGGAGGCAUUUUGGGGGAAUGUCAAUACGAAUAUUACAGUCUCUUUGCUCUUUGUAUCGUCCCCUAAACCGUCUGAGUGAAGUUGCAGGAGAUAAUGUACAAUUAUGCUGUCACUGAAGUUUGGGGAGCCUGUUUGCAGGAGCUUUGGAGAGACAUCCUUCCAGGCACGCAAUGAAAGCGUGGAAGAUGUGACUGGACCAAGAAGAGGAGAUCCUGAAAACUCACAUGCCUGCUUUCAGGAAUGUCUCAGGAUGACUCAGAGGCAUCCAGUACCAUCCUAAGGAUACAGCAGAACAUGUCCUGCUCCUCUAGCUGCUGUGGGUUGUCUUUGGUGUGGAGGCCUUGGGGAUCCCAUCUUGCCUGGCUCCUCCUCGCACAGGGACCAGAUUUGGGUGCAGCCUUGGGUGGGAUGAGUUCUUGGGCCUGGGAAUGAGGGUUUUUGCACUCUGCUGUGGUUUUGGAGAGAAGACCCUUCUCUCAUCACACACCUUGUUUCCUGGUUUAGUUGCUGACAAAUUCUGAGGAGGACUCUGUGGCAGCACAGUGGAGGUGAGGCUGUGACAUUUUGCAGCCUUGGGGACAGUCUCCCUUUGCCUCUUUUGUUUUUGUGAGUGAUGUCCCCGUUUAGGGAUAAAUAAUAUUUUUCGUUCUAUUUAUUAUUAAUUUCUCCCAUUUAAUAUUUAAACGUGGUCCAAGUUUAAAUCACACAGUCUGGAAGAGCUGGAGCUGGGAGAGCUGCUGAGCCUGAGGCAGCACUGGGAGAACACAGAGGGGGAAGGGUUUUAACUGUCCUGUUGCUGCUGGGGUGGAUUAACCUCUUCCUUGCCAAGAGUCUCUCCUGAUGGCUGCUCCAGCUGGAACGAGGCAGGGUCAGGGUGGCUGGUGCAGCAGUCUGGGGCUGCAUUAAUCUAACAUCCAUAUGGAGUUGUGGUAGGUGUCACUUGGUGCAGUGAGGACCUGGGAUUGCUGACCCACAAGGGCUCUCCCACCUCUUUAUUUUCCCCUUCUGAGAAGGCAAAAUCCAUUUACUCUUGACAGACCCCUUUGUGCAGCAGCAUGGAGCCAGACUAAUGCCUGGUGGGACUGGGAUGAAGCCUCUUCUCAGCUGUGCGGUGCCAGAGGGUUGGGAAGACCUUGCAGAGAGGGGCUCCUCUGCCCCAUGCUGUCAUGGUCAAGCUUCUUGGGGCUCUGCUAAACCUCAUUCUCUCCUUCUCCCAGGGCAGAAAGCUGAUCUGCUCACAUAUGGGAGCAAAGCUGGGCUCCAAACACUGGCUCCUGGUAGCAAAAAUGAAGCUGCUGGGCAGGAGGGAGAGGAGAUGACGGAGCCUGGAGGAGUGGUGGGUCUUUUUGAUCUAAAGUGGGCCCAGUCUCCUGAAUCACAGCUUUGAAAGAUGACAGAGCCCAUUCCAUGGAGAUGGUGGGUGCUGGAAUGGUGGGUGUGAGAGGAAGGAGCCCACACUCCAACCAAGAUGAACAAGCCCCAGAGGGAAGCACAGCACUGCCAGAAACCAGCAGCAAGAAACUUAUUUUAUUCUCAGGCAAGUCUCUGAUAAAGGAAGAAUUUUUCCUGUUGUAAAACAGGGGAUGUGCAAAAAAAUGUAGAAUGGAUUUAUCCGGGUGACUGUUAAGAGUUAAUCGAUAAAA